UUCCACGGUUUCUGCGACGCAGCUAGCGCAUUAAGCGCCCCGCCUGGGGAGUACGAUCGCAAGAUUAAAACUCAAAGGAAUUGACGGGGCCCCGCACAAGCAGCGGAGCAUGCGGCUUAAUUCGACGCAACGCGAAGAACCUUACCAAGGCUUGACAUAUACAGGAAUAUGGCAGAGAUGUCAUAGCGGUAAAACGUCUGUAUACAGGUGGUGCAUGGUUGUCGUCAGCUCGUGUCGUGAGAUGUUGGGUUAAGUCCCGCAACGAGCGCAACCCUCGUUCUGUGUUGCCAGCAUUUAGUUGGGGACUCACAGGAGACUGCCGGGGUCAACUCGGAGGAAGGUGGGGAUGACGUCAAAUCAUCAUGCCCCUUAUGUCUUGGGCUGCACGCAUGCUACAAUGGCUGGUACAAAGGGCUGCAAUACUGCAAAGUGGAGCGAAUCCCAAAAAGCCAGUCUCAGUUCGGAUUGGGGUCUGCAACUCGACCCCAUGAAGUCGGAGUUGCUAGUAAUCGUAGAUCAGCAACGCUACGGUGAAUACGUUCCCGGGGCUUGUACACACCGCCCGUCACAUCACGAAAGUCGGUAACACCCAAAAGUCAGUGGCCCAACCGCAAGGAGGGAGCUGCCAAAG
rnacentral:rRNA from 1 species